rnacentral:tRNA from 1 species
AGCUUUAUAGUCAAAAUAUGAUUUAAAAUUGCAAAUUUUAAGUAGUAAUUUAAUUACUAAGGCUU